rnacentral:piRNA from 1 species
UNCGACUGAGCCACAUCCCCAGCUCCUUAC